AGUUCUGUAGUUCAGUGGUAAAGCACUUGUCUAACAUGCAUGAGGUCCUGGGUUCAAGCCCUAGCACUG
rnacentral:tRNA from 1 species